UCUGCUGAAGGAACUAGGCAAAAUGGUACCGUAACUUCGGGAGAAGGUACGCUGCCGGCGGUGAUAGGAUUUACUCCUUGAGCUAUUGGCAGCCACAGAAACCAGGCCCCUGCAACUGUUUAUUAAAAACAUAGCACUCUGCAAACACGAAAGUGGACGUAUAGGGUGUGAUGCCUGCCCGGUGCUGGAAGGUUAAUUGAUGGGGUUAGCGUAAGCGAAGCUCUUGAUCGAAGCCCCAGUAAACGGCGGCCGUAACUAUAACGGUCCUAAGGUAGCGAAAUUCCUUGUCGGGUAAGUUCCGACCUGCACGAAUGGCAUAAUGAUGGGGGCGCUGUCUCCAGCAGAGGCUCAGUGAAAUCGAAUUCGCCGUGAAGAUGCGGUGUACCCGCGGCUAGACGGAAAGACCCCGUGAACCUUUACUGCAGCUUGACAUUGAACUUUGAUCUUACUUGUGUAGGAUAGGUGGGAGGCUUUGAAGUGGUGACGCUAGUUGCCAUGGAGCCGUCCUUGAAAUACCACCCUGGUAAUAUUGAGGUUCUAACUCUGCUCCCUGAUCGGGAGCGAGGACCAUGUCUGGUGGGUAGUUUGACUGGGGCGGUCUCCUCCUAAAGAGUAACGGAGGAGUACGAAGGUGCGCUCAGACCGGUCGGAAAUCGGUCGUAGAGUAUAAAGGCAAAAGCGCGCUUGACUGCGAGACAGACAAGUCGAGCAGGUACGAAAGUAGGUCUUAGUGAUCCGGUGGUUCUGUAUGGAAGGGCCAUCGCUCAACGGAUAAAAGGUACUCCGGGGAUAACAGGCUGAUACCGCCCAAGAGUUCAUAUCGACGGCGGUGUUUGGCACCUCGAUGUCGGCUCAUCUCAUCCUGGGGCUGAAGCAGGUCCCAAGGGUAUGGCUGUUCGCCAUUUAAAGAGGUACGCGAGCUGGGUUUAGAACGUCGUGAGACAGUUCGGUCCCUAUCUACCGUGGGCGCUGGAAAUUUGAGAGGAUCUGCUCCUAGUACGAGAGGACCAGAGUGGACGAACCUCUGGUGUACCGGUUGUGACGCCAGUCGCAUCGCCGGGUAGCUAUGUUCGGAAGGGAUAACCGCUGAAAGCAUCUAAGCGGGAAGCCUACCUCAAGAUAAGAUUUCCCCGAGACUUUAUGUCUCCUAAAGAGCCGUUGAAGACUACGACGUUGAUAGGUUGGAUGUGGAAGCAUAGUGAUAUGUGAAGCUGACCAAUACUAAUUGCUCGUGAGGCUUGACUAU
rnacentral:rRNA from 1 species